UCGCGCAGCAGUGGGGAAUAUUGCACAAUGGGGGAAACCCUGAUGCAGCGACGCCGCGUGAGUGAAGAAGUAUCUCGGUACGUAAAGCUCUAUCAGCAGGGAAGAAAAAAAGUCUUUGGCUUUGGACGGUACCUGACUAAGAAGCCCCGGCUAACUACGUGCCAGCAGCCGCGGUAAUACGUAGGGGGCAAGCGUUAUCCGGAUUUACUGGGUGUAAAGGGAGCGUAGACGGCAGCGCAAGUCUGGAGUGAAAUGCCGGGGCUCAACCCCGGAACUGCUUUGGAAACUGUGCAGCUAGAGUGCGG
rnacentral:rRNA from 1 species